AACUUUCAAUUGGUGCUGACAUGC
rnacentral:siRNA from 1 species